UGGGGAAUCUUGGACAAUGGGCGCAAGCCUGAUCCAGCCAUGCCGCGUGAGCGAUGAAGGCCUUAGGGUUGUAAAGCUCUUUCAACGGUGAAGAUAAUGACGGUAACCGUAGAAGAAGCCCCGGCUAACUUCGUGCCAGCAGCCGCGGUAAUACGGAGGGGGUUAGCGUUGUUCGGAAUUACUGGGCGUAAAGCGCACGUAGGCGGACCAGAAAGUUGGGGGUGAAAUCCCGGGGGCUCAACCCCGGAACUGCCUCCAAAACUAUUGGUCUAGAGUUCGAGAGAGGUGAGUGGAAUUCCAAGUGUAGAGGUGAAAUUCGUAGAUAUUUGGAGGAACACCAGUGGCGAAGGCGGCUCACUGGCUCGAUACUGACGCUGAGGUGCGAAAGUGUGGGGAGCAAACAGGAUUAGAUACCCUGGUAGUCCACACCGUAAAACGAUGAAUGCCAGUCGUCGGGUAGCAUGCUAUUCGGU
rnacentral:rRNA from 1 species